UACUUCUACACCGUUAAUAAUUUUUAACGGCUGGAGCGAAAAUAAAAAUCAAUAAUACUUCUACACCGAAAGAUACUUUCAAAAUCAAUAAUUUUUAAUGGCUGAAAAUAAAAAUUCUAUAAAAAGUGAUGAUAUAGCAUUAAAAUUUUCGAUUAAAAAUAUUGACCUUGUUAUAGAUAGUAUAAAAAAUUUUGUAUCAAAAUUUCAUCUGAUUUGAAUAUUUCUACACCGUUAAACUUGAAAACGGCAGAUAUCAACCAUUAAAAAUUAUGGAUUUUGAAUCCUUUCGAUCAAUAGGUAAAUGAUAUCGAAAAAUCGCAAAAAUUAUUUUUUAGAAACUUCAAAUACGCUAGAUCAAAUCUAACGGAGCCAAUCGUCGAUUCGGAAACUCUAUCAUCAAAAACGGCCAUACUCAUGAAAACACAGCAACCAUGCUAUAUAUAUAUAUAUAUAUAUAUAUAUAUAUAUAUAUAUAGAGAGAGAGAGAGAGAGAGAGAGAGAGAGAGAGAGUGAGGUUACUAUGCUAUCGGCAGCACGGAGCCUUCCGUGAUUCCAGCUCGUUUUCGAUGUUGCAACUUUUGAAUCGUCGAUCGGCUCCGUUAAACUUGAUCUAGAGUAUUUG
rnacentral:lncRNA from 1 species